AUUGAACGCUGGCGGCAGGCUUAACACAUGCAAGUCGAGCGGAGAUGAGGUGCCUGCACCUUAUCUUAGCGGCGGACGGGUGAGUAAUGCUUAGGAAUCUGCCUAUUAGUGGGGGACAACAUUCCGAAAGGAAUGCUAAUACCGCAUACGUCCUACGGGAGAAAGCAGGGGAUCUUCGGACCUUGCGCUAAUAGAUGAGCCUAAGUCGGAUUAGCUAGUUGGUGGGGUAAGGGCCUACCAAGGCGACGAUCUGUAGCGGGUCUGAGAGGAUGAUCCGCCACACUGGGACUGAGACACGGCCCAGACUCCUACGGGAGGCAGCAGUGGGGAAUAUUGGACAAUGGGGGGAACCCUGAUCCAGCCAUGCCGCGUGUGUGAAGAAGGCCUUAUGGUUGUAAAGCACUUUAAGCGAGGAGGAGGCUACUGAGACUAAUACUCUUGGAUAGUGGACGUUACUCGCAGAAUAAGCACCGGCUAACUCUGUGCCAGCAGCCGCCGUAAAAC
rnacentral:rRNA from 1 species